rnacentral:rRNA from 1 species
GAUGAACGCUGGCGGCGUGCCUAAUACAUGCAAGUCGAGCGAACAGACGAGGAGCUUGCUCCUCUGACGUUAGCGGCGGACGGGUGAGUAACACGUGGAUAACCUACCUAUAAGACUGGGAUAACUUCGGGAAACCGGAGCUAAUACCGGAUAAUAUAUUGAACCGCAUGGUUCAAUAGUGAAAGACGGUUUUGCUGUCACUUAUAGAUGGAUCCGCGCCGCAUUAGCUAGUUGGUAAGGUAACGGCUUACCAAGGCAACGAUGCGUAGCCGACCUGAGAGGGUGAACGGCCACACUGGAACUGAGACACGGUCCAGACUCCUAAGGGAGGCAGCAGUAGGGAAUCUUCCGCAAUGGGCGAAAGCCUGACGGAGCAACGACGCGUGAGUGAUGAAGGUCUUCGGAUCGUAAAACUCUGUUAUUAGGGAAGAACAAAUGUGUAAGUAACUAUGCACGUCUUGACGGUACCUAAUCAGAAAGCCACGGCUAACUACGUG